GAUGAACGCUGGCGGCGUGCCUAAUACAUGCAAGUCGAGCGAACGGACGAGAAGCUUGCUUCUCUGAUGUUAGCGGCGGACGGGUGAGUAACACGUGGAUAACCUACCUAUAAGACUGGGAUAACUUCGGGAAACCGGAGCUAAUACCGGAUAAUAUUUUGAACCGCAUGGUUCAAAAGUGAAAGACGGUCUUGCUGUCACUUAUAGAUGGAUCCGCGCUGCAUUAGCUAGUUGGUAAGGUAACGGCUUACCAAGGCAACGAUGCAUAGCCGACCUGGGAGGGUGAUCGGCCACACUGGAACUGAGACACGGCCCAGACUCCUACGGGAGGCAGCAGUAGGGAAUCUUCCGCAAUGGGCGAAAGCCUGACGGAGCAACGCCGCGUGAGUGACGAAGGUCUUCGGAUCGUAAAACUCUGUUAUUAGGGAAGAACAUAUGUGUAAGUAACUGUGCACAUCUUGACGGUACCUAAUCAGAAAGCCACGGCUAACUACGUG
rnacentral:rRNA from 1 species